rnacentral:rRNA from 1 species
ACGAACGCUGGCGGCGUGCUUAACACAUGCAAGUCGCACGGAAAGGCCCUGCUUUUGUGGGGUGCUCGAGUGGCGAACGGGUGAGUAACACGUGAGUAACCUGCCCUUGACUUUGGGAUAACUUCAGGAAACUGAGGCUAAUACCGGAUAGGAGCUCCUGCUGCAUGGUGGGGGUUGGAAAGUUUCGGCGGUUGGGGAUGGACUCGCGGCUUAUCAGCUUGUUGGUGGGGUAGUGGCUUACCAAGGCUUUGACGGGUAGCCGGCCUGAGAGGGUGACCGGCCACAUUGGGACUGAGAUACGGCCCAGACUCCUACGGGAGGCAGCAGUGGGGAAUAUUGCACAAUGGGCGGAAGCCUGAUGCAGCAACGCCGCGUGCGGGAUGACGGCCUUCGGGUUGUAAACCGCUUUCGCCUGUGACGAAGCGUGAGUGACGGUAAUGGGUAAAGAAGCACCGGCUAACUACGUG